rnacentral:rRNA from 1 species
AGUAAAAGUCGUAACAAGGUUUCCGUAGGUGAACCUGCGGAAGGAUCAUUAAAGAAAAUGCCCCGGACGUGUCGAAAGGCGCCGAAGGGACUUCUCUUCCAACCCACCCCCACUGUGAACCUUAGCGUGAGGUCAGUAAGGGCGCACCCUCAAUCCAGGGGGACGGCCGUGAAAGCUUCGCGAAACCCAUACCCACAUACCCAUAUGCAAGUCUCAGAAUGUACAUGUUGCGCGUCGUCGCAAAUAAAAUACAACUUUCAGCAACGGAUCUCUUGGCUCUCGCAUCGAUGAAGAACGCAGCGAAAUGCGAUAAGUAAUGUGAAUUGCAGAAUCCAGUGAAUCAUCGAAUCUUUGAACGCACCUUGCACCCCUUGGUAUUCCGAGGGGUACGCCUGUUUGAGUGUCGUGAAUUCCUCCACUCGACCGCUUUGCUGCGUGUCGAGCUGGGAUGUUGGGGGUGUUUUGCAGGUCCCUUUCGAGGUCUGCUCCCCUUGAAUGCAUUAGUGAGGUUCGGCGCUCGGCCUCGACGUGAUAAAGUCUAUCUACGUCGUGUCCGGUGCUUUGUUUGUCCUGGUCAGCCAGGGAAAAACGGGACUUUGCUUCCAACCGUCUUCGGACAACCGUGCGCUCGCGCACAACCUUCGAACUCGACCUCAAAUCAGGUGGGACUACCCGCUGAACU